rnacentral:rRNA from 1 species
GAUGAACGCUAGCGGCAGGCCUAACACAUGCAAGUCGAGGGGCAACGGGGGUGAGCUUGCUCACCUGCCGGCGACCGGCGCACGGGUGCGCAACGCGUAUGGAACCUGCCUUUUACAGGGGAAUAGCCCAGGGAAACUUGGAUUAAUGCCCCAUGGCGCCACUUCGCGGAAUCGCGAUAUGGCUAAAGCCCUCGGGCGGUAGAAGAUGGCCAUGCGUCCCAUUAGCUAGUUGGUGCGGUAACGGCGCACCAAGGCCGCGAUGGGUAGGGGCCCUGAGAGGGGGAUCCCCCACACUGGUACUGAGACACGGACCAGACUCCUACGGGAGGCAGCAGUGAGGAAUAUUGGACAAUGGGCGGGAGCCUGAUCCAGCCAUGCCGCGUGCAGGAAGACGGUCCUAUGGAUUGUAAACUGCUUUUGUACGGGAAGAACAAGGGGCACGUGUGCCCCUCUGACGGUACCGUAAGAAUAAGGAUCGGCUAACUCCGUG